UACGUAGGGGGCUAGCGUUGUCCGGAAUCAUUGGGCGUAAAGAGCGUGUAGGCGGCCCGGUAAGUCCGCUGUAAAAGUCAAAGGCUCAACCUUUGAAUGUCAGUGGAUACUGCCGGGCUAGAGUCCGGAAGAGGCGAGUGGAACUCCUGGUGGAGCGGUGAAAUGCGCAGAUAUCAGGAGGAACACCCGUAGCGAAGGCGGCACUCUGGGCCGAUACUGACACUGGAGGAGCGAAAGCGUGGGGAGCGAACAGG
rnacentral:rRNA from 1 species